rnacentral:rRNA from 1 species
AUGUUCUUCUCAUUAUCGCCUCAAGGGGAGGAGUGCGGUUAUGUCGGGGAGGCAAUCAGGGCAGUCUCUAACUACAUGAUAUUCCUCCUUUUUGAACGUCCAUACAUGCUGCCUAGCCCUGUUCGGCCUGGAUUGUAUGCCAAUAUUGAAGCAGCAUAUAUUGGGCGGCUUGAUCUUCCUCGCGUGAAAUGCAUCAGCAGAAGGUGGGAGCUGGACAGAAGAAGAAGAAUGUGGGAUCUGGACACAAGAAGGGAUGGGGCCGAGCUGUACAGAUGGGCACGGGGGAAGUUGGACAUAAUAAGGGAGGAUCUGGACAUAACAAGGGAGGAGCAGUUGGGCGAUAGAUGGCUGGCCGAUAGAUGUAAGGAUCUGGACAGAGAAAGGGAGGAGCUGGAGAAAAGAAGUUCUGAGGCAAGGGAGAACAUGGAGCAGCUGAAGAGAAUAAUGACAGAUGUGGUGUACCUAGACAAAAGAAGCGAGGAGCUGCGUAUGGGGCCUGUUCCUUCACCUGCCUUGGCCCGUGGAGCAGACCUUGCUCUUAGGCUGCUAGAGGUGGAGUUGCAGCGGCCACCGCCGGAGGUGCGGCGGGUGGUACUUGGGGUGUGGGUGGAGAUGUUGUGCUAUGCUGCGCACCACUGCAAUAGGGAUUCCCAUGCCAGGCAGCUCAACAGUGGCGGAGAGUUCAUCACCGUCCUCUGGCUUGUGUCCACUGCCAUGUUCAAUCUCCAGUACUGUGAUGAGCCCUGGUUUAAGAAGGGCAUGUCAGAGUUCUUCACGCCACCGUCAAAGCGCCAGCGCCUGCGUUUUUGGUGCCGGUACUUCAGAAAGAGGUAUAUUUGUAUAUAA